AUUGAACGCUGGCGGCAUGCCUUACACAUGCAAGUCGAACGGCAGCACGGGAGCAAUCCUGGUGGCGAGUGGCGAACGGGUGAGUAAUAUAUCGGAACGUGCCCAGUCGUGGGGGAUAACGCAGCGAAAGCUGUGCUAAUACCGCAUACGAUCUCUGGAUGAAAGCGGGGGACCGGAAGGCCUCGCGCGAUUGGAGCGGCCGAUAUCAGAUUAGCUAGUUGGUGGGGUAAAGGCCCACCAAGGCGACGAUCUGUAGCUGGUCUGAGAGGACGACCAGCCACACUGGAACUGAGACACGGUCCAGACUCCUACGGGAGGAAGCAGUGGGGAAUUUUGGACAAUGGGCGCAAGCCUGAUCCAGCAAUGCCGCGUGCAGGAUGAAGGCCUUCGGGUUGUAAACUGCUUUUGUACGGAACGAAACGGCGAGCUCUAAUAAAGUUUGCUAAUGACGGUACCGUAAGAAUAAGCACCGGCUAACUACGUGCCAGCCGCCGCAGUAA
rnacentral:rRNA from 1 species